GCUAAAGUGUCUUGGCUAAGGUGUCUUGGCUAAGGUGUCUUGGCUAAGGUGUCUUGGCUAAGGUGUCUUGGCUAAGGUGUCUUGGCUAAUGUGUCUCGGCUAAUGUGUCUUGGCUAAGGUGUCUUGGCUAAAGUGUCUUGGCUAAGGUGUCUUGGCUAAGGUGUCUUGGCUAAGGUGUUUUGGCUAAUGUGUCUCGGCUAAUGUGUCUUGGCUAAGGUGUCUUGGCUAAGGUGUCUUGGCUAAUGUGUCUUGGCUAAGGUGUCUUGGCUAAGGUGUCUUGGCUAAUGUGUCUUGGCUAAGGUGUCUUGGCUAAGGUGUCUUGGCUAAUGUGUCUUGGCUAAUGUGUCUUGGCUAAUGUGUCUUGGCUAAGGUGUCUUGGCUAAGGUGUCUUGGCUAAUGUGUCUUGGCUAAGGUGUCUAGGCUAAUGUGUCUUGGCUAAUGUGUCUUGGCUAAUGUGUCUUGGCUAAGGUGUCUUGGCUAAUGUGUCUUGGCUAAGGUGUCUUGGCUAAGGUGUCUUGGCUAAGGUGUCUUGGCUAAUGUGUCUCGGCUAAUGUGUCUUGGCUAAGGUGUCUUGGCUAAAGUGUCUUGGCUAAGGUGUCUUGGCUAAGGUGUCUUGGCUAAGGUGUUUUGGCUAAUGUGUCUUGGCUAAGGUGUCUUGGCUAAGGUGUCUUGGUUAAUGUGUCUUGGCUAAGGUGUCUUGGCUAAGGUGUCUUGGCUAAUGUGUCUUGGCUAAUGUGUCUUGGCUAAUGUGUCUUGGCUAAGGUGUCUUGGCUAAGGUGUCUUGGCUAAUGUGUCUUGGCUAAGGUGUCUAGGCUAAUGUGUCUUGGCUAAUGUGUCUUGGCUAAUGUGUCUUGGCUAAAGUGUCUUGGCUAAGGUGUCUUGGCUAAGGUGUCUUGGCUAAGGUGUCUUGGCUAAUGUGUCUUGGCUACGGUGUCUUGGCUAAUGUGUCUUUGCUAAGGUGUCUUGGCUAAUGUGUCUCGGCUUAUGUGUCUUGGCUAAGGUGUCUUGGCUAAGGUGUCUUGGCUAAUGUGUCUUGGCUACGGUGUCUUGGCUAAUGUGUCUUUGCUAAGGUGUCUUGGCUAAUGUGUCUCGGCUUAUGUGUCUUGGCUAAGGUGUCUUGGCUAAGGUGUCUUGGCUAAUGUGUCUUGGCUAAGGUGUCUUGGCUAAGGUGUCUUGGCUAAUGUGUCUUGGCUAAUGUGUUUUGGCUAAUGUGUCUUGGCUAAUGUGUCUUCGCUAAGGUGUCUUGGCUAAUGUGUUUUGGCUAAUGUGUCUUGGCUAAGGUGUCUUGGCUAAGGUGUCUUUGCUAAGGUGUCUUGGCUAAGGUGUCUUGGCUAAUGUGUCUUGGCUAAGGUGUCUUGGCUAAUGUGUCUCGGCUUAUGUGUCUUGGCUAAGGUGUCUUGGCUAAGGUGUCUUGGCUAAUGUGUCUUGGCUACGGUGUCUUGGCUAAUGUGUCUUUGCUAAGGUGUCUUGGCUAAUGUGUCUCGGCUUAUGUGUCUUGGCUAAGGUGUCUUGGCUAAGGUGUCUUGGCUAAUGUGUCUUGGCUACGGUGUCUUGGCUAAUGUGUCUUUGCUAAGGUGUCUUGGCUAAUGUGUCUCGGCUUAUGUGUCUUGGCUAAUGUGUCUUGGCUAAUGUGUCUUGGCUAAGGUGUCUUGGCUAAUGUGUCUUGGCUAAGGUGUCUUGGCUAAUGUGUCUUGGCUAAUGUGUUUUGGCUAAUGUGUCUUGGCUAAUGUGUCUUCGCUAAGGUGUCUUGGCUAAUGUGUUUUGGCUAAUGUGUCUUGGCUAAGGUGUCUUGGCUAAGGUGUCUUUGCUAAGGUGUCUUGGCUAAGGUGUCUUGGCUAAUGUGUCUUGGCUAAGGUGUCUUGGCUAAGGUGUCUUGGCUAAGGUGUCUUGGCUAAUGUGUCUUGGCUAAGGUGUCUUGGCUAAUGUGUCUUGGCUAAUGUGUCUUGGCUAAUGUGUCUUGGCUAAUGUGUCUCGGCUUAUGUGUCUUGGCUAAUGUGUCUUCGCUAAGGUGUCUUGGCUAAUGUGUUUUGGCUAAUGUGUCUUGGCUAAUGUGUUUUGGCUAAUGUGUCUUGGCUAAGGUGUCUUGGCUAAGGUGUCUUUGCUAAGGUGUCUUGGCUAAGGUGUCUUGGCUAAUGUGUCUUGGCUAAGGUGUCUUGGCUAAUGUGUCUUGGCUAAGGUGUCUUGGCUAAUGUGUCUUGGCUAAGGUGUCUUGGCUAAGGUGUCUUUGCUUAGGUGUCUUGGCUAAGGUGUCUUGGCUAAUGUGUCUUGGCUAAUGUGUUUUGGCUAAUGUGUCUUGGCUAAGGUGUCUUGGCUAAUGUGUCUUGGCUAAGGUGUCUUGGCUAAGGUGUCUUGGCUAAUGUGUCUUGGCUAAUGUGUCUUGGCUAAUGUGUCUUCGCUAAGGUGUCUUGGCUAAUGUGUUUUGGCUAAUGUGUCUUGGCUAAUGUGUCUUCGCUAAGGUGUCUUUGCUAAGGUGUCUUGGUAAAAGUGUCUUGGCUAAGGUGUCUUGGCUAAUGUGUCUUGGCUAAUGUGUCUUGGCUAAGGUGUCUUGGCUAAUGUGUCUUGGCUAAGGUGUGUUGGCUAAUGUGUCUUGGCUAAUGUGUCUUGGCUAAUGUGUCUUGGCUAAUGUGUCUCGGCUUAUGUGUCGUGGCUAAUGUGUCUUCGCUAAGGUGUUUUGGCUAAUGUGUCUUGGCUAAUGUGUCUUCGCUAAGGUGUCUUUGCUAAGGUGUCUUGGUAAAAGUGUCUUGGCUAAGGUGUCUUGGCUAAUGUGUCUUGGCUAAUGUGUCUUGGCUAAGGUGUCUUGGCUAAUGUGUCUUGGCUAAUGUGUCUUGGCUAAGGUGUCUUGGCUAAUGUGUUUUGGCUAAUGUGUCUUGGCUAAUGUGUCUUCGCUAAGGUGUCUUUGCUAAGGUGUCUUGGUAAAAGUGUCUUGGCUAAGGUGUCUUGGCUAAGGUGUCUUGGCUAAUGUGUCUUGGCUAAUGUGUCUUGGCUAAUGUGUCUUCGCUAAGGUGUCUUGGCUAAUGUGUUUUGGCUAAUGUGUCUUGGCUAAGGUGUCUUGGCUAAGGUGUCUUGGCUAAGGUGUCUUGGCUAAUGUGUCUUGGCUAAGGUGUCUUGGCUAAUGUGUCUUGGCUAAUGUGUCUUGGCUAAUGUGUCUUGGCUAAUGUGUCUCGGCUUAUGUGUCUUGGCUAAUGUGUCUUCGCUAAGGUGUCUUGGCUAAUGUGUUUUGGCUAAUGUGUCUUGGCUAAUGUGUUUUGGCUAAUGUGUCUUGGCUAAGGUGUCUUGGCUAAGGUGUCUUUGCUAAGGUGUCUUGGCUAAGGUGUCUUGGCUAAUGUGUCUUGGCUAAGGUGUCUUGGCUAAUGUGUCUUGGCUAAGGUGUCUUGGCUAAUGUGUCUUGGCUAAGGUGUCUUGGCUAAGGUGUCUUUGCUUAGGUGUCUUGGCUAAGGUGUCUUGGCUAAUGUGUCUUGGCUAAUGUGUUUUGGCUAAUGUGUCUUGGCUAAGGUGUCUUGGCUAAUGUGUCUUGGCUAAGGUGUCUUGGCUAAGGUGUCUUGGCUAAUGUGUCUUGGCUAAUGUGUCUUGGCUAAUGUGUCUUCGCUAAGGUGUCUUGGCUAAUGUGUUUUGGCUAAUGUGUCUUGGCUAAUGUGUCUUCGCUAAGGUGUCUUUGCUAAGGUGUCUUGGUAAAAGUGUCUUGGCUAAGGUGUCUUGGCUAAUGUGUCUUGGCUAAUGUGUCUUGGCUAAGGUGUCUUGGCUAAUGUGUCUUGGCUAAGGUGUCUUGGCUAAUGUGUCUUGGCUAAUGUGUCUUGGCUAAUGUGUCUUGGCUAAUGUGUCUCGGCUAAUGUGUCUUGGCUAAGGUGUCUUGGCUAAUGUGUUUUGGCUAAUGUGUCUUGGCUAAUGUGUCUUCGCUAAGGUGUCUUUGCUAAGGUGUCUUGGUAAAAGUGUCUUGGCUAAGGUGUCUUGGCUAAUGUGUCUUGGCUAAUGUGUCUUGGCUAAGGUGUCUUGGCUAAUGUGUCUUGGCUAAUGUGUCUUGGCUAAGGUGUCUUGGCUAAAGUGUCUUGGCUAAGGUGUCUUGGCUAAUGUGUCUUGGCUAAGGUGUCUAGGCUAAUGUGUCUUGGCUAAUGUGUCUUGGCUAAGGUGUCUUGGCUAAUGUGUCUUGGCUAAGGUGUCUAGGCUAAUGUGUCUUGGCUAAUGUGUCUUGGCUAAUGUGUCUUGGCUAAAGUGUCUUGGCUAAUGUGUCUUGGCUAAGGUGUCUUGGCUAAUGUGUCUUGGCUAAGGUGUCUUGGCUAAUGUGUCUUGGCUAAGGUGUCUUGGCUAAGGUGUCUUGGCUAAGGUGUCUUGGCUAAUGUGUCUCGGCUAAUGUGUCUUGGCUAAGGUGUCUUGGCUAAAGUGUCUUGGCUAAGGUGUCUUGGCUAAUGUGUCUUGGCUAAGGUGUCUAGGCUAAUGUGUCUUGGCUAAUGUGUCUUGGCUAAGGUGUCUUGGCUAAUGUGUCUUGGCUAAGGUGUCUAGGCUAAUGUGUCUUGGCUAAUGUGUCUUGGCUAAUGUGUCUUGGCUAAAGUGUCUUGGCUAAGGUGUCUUGGCUAAGGUGUCUUGGCUAAGGUGUCUUGGCUAAUGUGUCUUGGCUACGGUGUCUUGGCUAAUGUGUCUUUGCUAAGGUGUCUUGGCUAAUGUGUCUCGGCUUAUGUGUCUUGGCUAAGGUGUCUUGGCUAAGGUGUCUUGGCUAAUGUGUCUUGGCUAAUGUGUCUUGGCUAAGGUGUCUUGGCUAAUGUGUCUUGGCUAAGGUGUCUUGGCUAAUGUGUCUUGGCUAAUGUGUCUUGGCUAAUGUGUCUUGGCUAAGGUGUCUUGGCUAAUGUGUCUUGGCUAAUGUGUCUUGGCUAAUGUGUCUUCGCUAAGGUGUCUUGGCUAAUGUGUUAUGGCUAAUGUGUCUUGGCUAAGGUGUCUUGGCUAAGGUGUCUUUGCUUAGGUGUCUUGGCUAAGGUGUCUUGGCUAAUGUGUCUUGGCUAAUGUGUUUUGGCUAAUGUGUCUUGGCUAAGGUGUCUUGGCUAAUGUGUCUUGGCUAAGGUGUCUUGGCUAAGGUGUCUUGGCUAAUGUGUCUUGGCUAAUGUGUCUUGGCUAAUGUGUCUUCGCUAAGGUGUUUUGGCUAAUGUGUUUUGGCUAAUGUGUCUUGGCUAAGGUGUCUUGGCUAAGGUGUCUUUGCUAAGGUGUCUUGGCUAAGGUGUCUCGGCUAAUGUGUCUUGGCUAAGGUGUCUUGGCUAAGGUGUCUUGGCUAAGGUGUCUUGGCUAAUGUGUCUUGGCUAAGGUGUCUUGGCUAAUGUGUCUUGGCUAAUGUGUCUUGGCUAAUGUGUCUUGGCUAAGGUGUCUUGGCUAAUGUGUCUUGGCUAAUGUGUCUUGGCUAAUGUGUCUUGGCUAAUGUGUCUCGGCUAAUGUGUCUUGGCUAAGGUGUCUUGGCUAAUGUGUCUUGGCUAAUGUGUCUUGGCUAAUGUGUCUUCGCUAAGGUGUCUUUGCUAAGGUGUCUUGGUAAAAGUGUCUUGGCUAAGGUGUCUUGGCUAAUGUGUCUUGGCUAAUGUGUCUUGGCUAAGGUGUCUUGGCUAAUGUGUUUUGGCUAAUGUGUCUUGGCUAAGGUGUCUUGGCUAAAGUGUCUUGGCUAAGGUGUCUUGGCUAAUGUGUCUUGGCUAAGGUGUCUAGGCUAAUGUGUCUUGGCUAAUGUGUCUUGGCUAAGGUGUCUUGGCUAAUGUGUCUUGGCUAAGGUGUCUAGGCUAAUGUGUCUUGGCUAAUGUGUCUUGGCUAAUGUGUCUUGGCUAAGGUGUCUUGGCUAAUGUGUCUUGGCUAAUGUGUCUUGGCUAAUGUGUCUUGGCUAAGGUGUCUUGGCUAAUGUGUCUUGGCUAAGGUGUCUUGGCUAAGGUGUCUUGGCUAAGGUGUCUUGGCUAAUGUGUCUCGGCUAAUGUGUCUUGGCUAAGGUGUCUUGGCUAAAGUGUCUUGGCUAAGGUGUCUUGGCUAAUGUGUCUUGGCUAAGGUGUCUAGGCUAAUGUGUCUUGGCUAAUGUGUCUUGGCUAAGGUGUCUUGGCUAAUGUGUCUUGGCUAAGGUGUCUAGGCUAAUGUGUCUUGGCUAAUGUGUCUUGGCUAAUGUGUCUUGGCUAAUGUGUCUUGGCUAAGGUGUCUUGGCUAAGGUGUCUUGGCUAAGGUGUCUUGGCUAAUGUGUCUUGGCUACGGUGUCUUGGCUAAUGUGUCUUUGCUAAGGUGUCUUGGCUAAUGUGUCUCGGCUUAUGUGUCUUGGCUAAGGUGUCUUGGCUAAGGUGUCUUGGCUAAUGUGUCUUGGCUACGGUGUCUUGGCUAAUGUGUCUUUGCUAAGGUGUCUUGGCUAAUGUGUCUCGGCUUAUGUGUCUUGGCUAAGGUGUCUUGGCUAAGGUGUCUUGGCUAAUGUGUCUUGGCUAAUGUGUCUUGGCUAAGGUGUCUUGGCUAAUGUGUCUUGGCUAAGGUGUCUUGGCUAAUGUGUCUUGGCUAAUGUGUCUUGGCUAAUGUGUCUUGGCUAAGGUGUCUUGGCUAAUGUGUCUUGGCUAAUGUGUCUUGGCUAAUGUGUCUUCGCUAAGGUGUCUUGGCUAAUGUGUUAUGGCUAAUGUGUCUUGGCUAAGGUGUCUUGGCUAAGGUGUCUUUGCUUAGGUGUCUUGGCUAAGGUGUCUUGGCUAAUGUGUCUUGGCUAAUGUGUUUUGGCUAAUGUGUCUUGGCUAAGGUGUCUUGGCUAAUGUGUCUUGGCUAAGGUGUCUUGGCUAAGGUGUCUUGGCUAAUGUGUCUUGGCU